UUCCGGUUGAUCCUGCCGGAGGUCACUGCUAUUGGGAUUCGGCUAAGCCAUGCAAGCGGAGGGCGCGGUCGAAAGAUCGUGGCCCCGCACACUGCUCAGUAACACGUAGUCAACCUACCCUUGGGACGGGGACAACCUCGGGAAACUGAGGCUAAUCCCCGAUAGGUGAGGGACGCUGGAAUGCCUCCUCGCCCAAAGCUCCGGCGCCCAAGGAUGGGACUGCGGUCUAUCAGGCUGUUGGUGGUGUAACGGACCACCAAACCUACGGCGGGUACGGGCGAUGGGAGUCGGAGCCCGGAGAUGGGGACUGAGACAAGGCCCCAGGCCCUACGGGGCGCAGCAGGCGCGAAAACUCCGCAAUGCGCGCAAGCGUGACGGGGGAAUCCCAAGUGCCGUUGGUCUUAUGAUCGACGGUUUUUAGGAAGUCUAAGAAGCUUCCAGAAUAAGGGCUGGGCAAGACUGGUGCAGCCGCCGCGGUAACACCAGCAGCCCAAGUGGUGACCACGAUUAUUGGGCCUAAAGCGCUCGUAGCCGGAUCAGCAAGUCCCUUGUGAAAUCGGGCCGCCUAACGGUUCGGCGUGCAAGGGAUACUGUUGGUCUUGAGGUCGGGAGAGGUCGGAGGUACUCCUGGGGUAGCGGUGAAAUGCUCUAAUCCUAGGGGGACCACCAGUGGCGAAGGCGUCCGACCAGAACGGACCUGACGGUGAGGGGCGAAGGCUAGGGGAGCGAACGGGAUUAGAUACCCCGGUAGUCCUAGCUGUAAAGCAUGCGGGCCAGGUGUCUAGCGCUCCUUGAGGGCGCUAGGUGCCGGAGGGAAGCCGUUAAGCCCGCCGCCUGGGAAGUACGGCCGCAAGGCUGAAACUUAAAGAAAUUGGCGGGGGAGCACCACAAGGGUGAAGCCUGCGGUUCAAUUGGACUCAACGCCGG
rnacentral:rRNA from 1 species